UUAGCUCAGUUGGUUAGAGCAUGGUGCUCACAACACUGAGGUUGUGGGUUUGAUCCCUGUA
rnacentral:tRNA from 1 species